UACGGGCCUGGUUCUCCGCGCUGCACAGCGGCCCCGCUGAGGGCUGGGGGUGGCGGGAACCUCCCUCGCGUACCGGGACUGUCAUGGAGAUACCCCGAUCCCGGUCCCGGCCUGCUCAGCCUGACUGACGCUGGAGCAUCGCAACAACCCGAACCGUCCUCGCGCAGCGCCACGGAGGCGCCCCGCUCCCGCUCAGCUCUCGCUCCCAGAGCCCAGCGCCUUGCGAGCCCCGGCCGGGUGUGUUCCUAGGCGGCUUCCGUAGCGGACAAUUUCCAGUCCCGCUGUGCAUGGCGCAGCCGCUUAGGCACCCGGUCUCGGGACGGCCCUGUCCCAGGUGCUCUGCGGCCCAGGCGGCGGGUUUGGGACCUCCGUCAGCUUGCGUCAGCCUCCCGUUCUCCUCGUCCUCCCCGUUCUCCCCGUUCUCCAAGUCCUUGGGGUCCGUGCGCUCCCUCGUUUGCCUUCCCGCGGGCCAGGCGGAAGACGGAACGAAGCUGCGCGGCCCGGGUUCCGGUCGGAAGCUGUCAGCGCGGCCUUACUCGCGAGGGAAGAACAAUGGCCAGUGCAGCUGUCCUGACCACAGGUUGGUGACCUCAGCAGUUUUCUCCAGGCCCUGCGUCUCAUUUUGCACUUUCAACAAACAUUUGUUGAACACCUCCUCCAUGUGAGGCUGGGGGGGGGGGGUGGGCGCGGGGGUUCCGGCCUGAGAAACAAACAAGCCCCUGAGGCCCUGCAGCCCUGACAGGAAGCAGGGUACCCGGAUGGAGACAUAGCCGAUGGCUUGGACACAGGACAAAUCAUUGGAAAGAACUUUCUUUCCUUUUUGUUUAUUUAUUUAUUGUCUUUUUGAGACCGAGUUUCAAUAUGCAGUUCAAAUUGGCCCUCAACUCACUUUGUAGCCCAGGCUGGCCUCGAACGCACAGUGAGCCUCCAGUGCUUCAGCCUCCCCAGUGCUGGCAUUACAGGUGUGUGCCACCACGCCCGGCUGGAAAGAACUUUCUGAGCAGUGUGUGGCCACUCGCUUGCCUGCAGUUAUCAAGGCUGAUUCUGGCUGUUUCUUUGGACUUGUUUCUGCUGUGUCUAAAUCACAUUCUCCUGCUUCUCGAAGUAUCUAGUAAUUCUGGUUAGAUGCUAGAUAUUAUAUAUUCUGCUGCCUAGUGUCUACACUUUUGUAGGUCCCUUGAAAGAAUGCUGACUUUGUAUCACCUAACAAUUAAAUGGCUUGCAGAUUUU